AUCCCCAGAACAGAGAAUAGAGUUCACAGAUCUCAUUUGACCUUGGAAACUAAGCAGACUUGGGCCUGGUUACUACUUAGAUGGGGAACCAUCAAGAAACACCAGGUUCUGGAGACU
rnacentral:rRNA from 1 species